UCUCAGCCUGUCCUCACAGGGAGGUGUUCCAUCCCUUGGAUCAUUUUUGUGGCCCUUCUGUGCUUGCUUGAUACCUAUUUCUUGCUGUUCAGUGACUGGGGCCCCUUGUGUGUGCAGUCAGUGCUGGAGCUUCUUUCCUGCAUCAGAACUCCUAAGCCAGGUCGGUGCUCAGUCUGAUUUGUGUUCUGCACAAAAGUUGCUGGAUUUUACUUGAUGCUACAGGUGCUUUAUAGUUUUGCAGUAGCUUCCUACCUGCAUUUUUUUUAAGCAUCUCCCUUUCCUAGUUGUGUGGUUAAUGCAGUGGUACACUGGCAGGAAACUUCUAUGGCAAGGUGUGAAUUUAACUUUUUUUUUUUUUUUUUCAGGUAUGUAAGAGUAAACUAGGUUUUCUGGAGUACCUUCUACUUUAAGAAUCAGUAGAUCAAGUCAGAUGGUUGCAACAUUACGUGCAGCAGUGGUUAUGUUAUUAACAGCUGAUUUGAGAAGGCAUAUGAGUAAUGCCUUGACGAGUUUAAGUUCCAUUUUAGAACAAUUUAAAAGAUCAUCAGUGGAUUUCUUAAAACACUGGUGUUCAAAAAUGCUUUUCAGUUAGGCACAAGAAUAAGGUUAUCAAAGUUGCUACAGUCUGCAGCCAGUCUUUCUCUUUUCUGCAUCUUGCUGCUCUUGUGGUUGUUAACACUUAAAGAACAUGCUUAUGGCUUUCAGUAGCCUCUGAAAUUACUCUGCAAUCCUAAUAAAUGAACUAAAGAAAGAACUUUAGUUCUCCUUCCAUUAUUUACUUAAUUUUAAUUAUGCUGUAUUAAUAUCUGAAGUUAUUUAUUACAUGCUAAUAUAAAUACUUAAAAUAUUAGUAUAUGAAGGUUUUUUUCCUGUUUAAUUAGCUUGGCAGAGUUCAUGCAUCACUGUGCAGUGUAAAUAAACUGUUACUGUAUUUCAUGUUUCAGAACAGAGGGGCAUUACUGAAUUAAUAUAAAUUUCCUUUGUAAUUGUGUUGUUGGGUAACUGUGCUUUAUAACAUAUUUCAACUUUUUACAUUUAAAUUGUCUCUGUGUUGUUGUUUGUUUUGUUGUUGUUCUUGUUUGUGUUUUUUUUUUACUAGUACUAUUAUGCCAUAUUAAAUCACAUCUUCUUGCAUGAAAAAAGGUGUAAAAUGGAAUACAAAUCCAAAAUGGAGAUCCUUAUCAGAGUAAAAAUAGAGGAAGGAAGUAAAACCAUGGUACUAAAGCAGAGGUUCCCAAACUUAUUGUACUGGAGUUUGGUCAUUGGUAUGGAUGGAGGGGGGACUGCUGAUGCCAGUGGAGUGAAUUGUUCUAUCCUAUGUUCCUCAAUCUGUGACACAUUCCUGAAGGCAGAACUCAGCUCUGUGCUUCCUACCUCACUUACUAGUUUAUCCCCCCUGCUUCACUCCAUCCUGUUCUUGUAGACUACCAUCUGCUUGUGUAUGGCAAGCCCAGUUCCAAAAUUGCUCUCAAAGCAGUGUCUGCUUACAGAAUGUUGACUGUUGAAGUGUGAUGAUGUUCACAGGCCUAGCUAGGGAGGUAUUGUGAUACACCAUAGCUAGAAACAAAGUGUGGCAAAUAGCUGGUCUUACAAAUCCUUCUUCAGAUAAGUAGUGCCCUCAAAGGCCGUUGAAUGCAUUUCAUUAAGGAUUACAUGUGAUUAGUGGUCUGUAAGGUCAGGUGUACGACCUGUCAUUAAUGAGUAUUCAUAUAUUAAUGCUGCUUUGAGCAGGAAGUUCAACUAGAUUGCCUCUGAGGUCAGUUGCAAUGAUUAUCACAGUUGUAUUGUGCAAAUAGAUAUUUAAUUUAUAAAGCGCCAAUUAAAUAAGCUAAGCCCUAUCCAGAUGUUGCAAUUAACUUUAUUUAUUCUGUUAUACUGUAGUACAGAGAUAAAACUUGGGUCAAAUUUGUAAGAUUUAAAACAGUAAAAAAAAACAAAAAAGCCUUUUUGUGUAUUUCAUUGAAUUCCUUGUAUGUAGUUCUAUAUUUUUAGCAUAUAAUUGUUUUGGUUGUGAUUCUGGAACUAGUUGCAGUAUAGUGCCAGCAAAUGCAAUGCUUUUAUUUGCAGCUGAGCUGUGUCAAUGGGCUCAAGUUGACUCUGGCUAUUUCAGGUACUUCUGGCACUGAGGCUUUUGUACAAAGCCAUCAGUGCAGAUCAGCAGUCUGAGAAAAAAGAUUUGAGGCCCCAAAAACUUCCAAAGCAAGGACACUGCACGAGAGAAGGAAUUCUUAUGUUCAAAAACUAUUGAACAAACAACGCUCAGUGAUGUUGUACUGUGUACAUUCUGAGUGUACAUAGAUGUUGCCACAGCUGGUUGACUUGAAUAAAUAAUGUGCUGAAUGAGUUUCAAGAUGGACGCUUUUUCAUUAUUUAAGAAAUUGUGUUUUGACUGACAGCAGUGUGAUUCUUCUCAUUAAGAUGUAUGCCGAACUCAUACAGAUUCCCUUCCUGUGUUUGGAUAAAAUGUAUACCUACUGAUACUUCUUUCACUUUCCCCAUUUAAUAUUGCAAAUUAAUUAUUUUAAUCAUAGGAUCAAGGCUGGAAAAGAUCACUAAGAUCAUCCAGUCCAGCUCUUGACCCAUCACUGUUGACCGUAUCCACCAAACCUUAUCCCUGAGUGCCACAUCUACCCUUUAUCAAAAAAGUUGGUGAUAAGUGAGGAAGUCUCAAAAUGACUCACUGCAAAAAGCCAAAUCACUUUCUCAUUCAUGUGACUGGAAAUAUUUUUGUACAAUAUUUGACCCUUCCAAAUAUAUUAAAUAUCCACAUGUGAUUGUUGUUCUGUCUUACUGCAGUGUAUUUCAGGGAAGUACUUGGUAGCUUCUAUGUUUUUAUUAAAAAAGGGUCUAAGAUAUCAGCUGAUGUAAGUAGAGUAUUAAGGACUAGAUAGAUCUCCUAUAGGUCUAUAGGAACUAUAGAAAGCAAUUAAAAGAAAUAAAAGGUUCUAUGAAGGAGCUGAGUGAAUUCUUUACGUUACUCUUUGCCACAAAGAAUGUUGUGAACGUUCCAUUCUUUUCAGACAAUGUAGAUGGGACAUUAUCUGAUCAUUGAAUUAGAGAAUGAAAAAAUUGAAUGCUCAAAUUCUCAAGACCCCUCGGUCACAAGGACUACAUGCAGUUCCUCCUGUGGUUCUAGAGAAUGAAGUGGCUGAGCUGCUAAGAAUGCCUCUGCUUAGGAAGUGAUGCUGUGCCAGAAGACUGGGAGCUGUCAGUUGGUGUAUGUGCUGCACUUCUAAACUGACGUAUCUGGAAUUUGCAGACCAAGGAUUCAUAUUUUAAUGCCAAGCUAACUGAUGUAAAUACUGAGGUACUUGAAUACAGUCAAGCACAGAUCUAAUAGAGCCUAGUUUCCUACAUAGCUAUAUGCCUUAGAGGUACCAGCUGCUGCUGGGAUGUUUAUAAGCUGUUUCUAUUAUGUCUGUACUAGUGUUUUAAUAAUGUGGCUACAUGCUGCAGCCUUCAGUUGGUUUGUGCAGUUUGUGGCUCUGUCGUUUCUAUUCACCUGUCCAGCGCUUGGAAUUCUGACAUCUCUGAACACAUGCAAAACUGUAAGUGCUUUUUGCUGCUCUUUCACAAAACUGAAAUUAGGUAGUGGAGUUAAAAGUUAUGAAGGGCCAAGCAGAACCUAGGUAGGCACAUUAUACAACAUUUGUCUCAUCUGUCUUCACCUGUCUGAACAGAUAAGCAGCAAGAAGGUCAUCUGUUCAGUACUUCUAACCAAAAUAGGGGUUCAUCAAGUUAUGCCUUAAGACUCUACAGCAGAAGUGUUUACUUUUGUCUUUAAAUAAGCAUCCAAAGUAAAAUUCUAUAUACAUUUGGUAAAGUUAGAGAAAGUUGUGAGGAACUGGAGGGCAGUCUUCUAAAGAAAGAUGCAUUAGCAUAAUAAUGGUAAAUGUCAUUCAGUACUUGCAAUUACAAAAUAACUCUUAGUGGAAGGAAUAACUGAACUACUUAAAGAGAUUUCUAAAUUACAAGUAAAUGUUACAAAAAUACAUUUCAGCUCCCAGGUGAAAAUAUCCUUAGAAGCGUCUGCUGUGAAAGAAGCAGCUUAAAAAUUUAUUUUAGUGAUGCUCCAUAAUAGCUUUUAAUGAAAGCUCCUUACUUAUUCAUCUCUGCUGAAAUGAACUGUCCAUCUGGUUUCAUUGCAAAAGCCAUUGAUGCUUGCUUUACCAAUCGGUAUGUUUACAUAUCCUCUGGGUGCUUUUAAAUGCUGUUGAUAAAUAACAAGUUCUUGACAAAUAAAGUCUUUGCAGCUUACAUAAUUAAAAUAAUACUGCUGUAUUUCUUGCUUUUGGUUUUAUUUUCUUCGGGUUAAAUCUAAAUGCUCAAUAAUGGCAAUACAUUCAUUCUGCCAUUUGGAGGAGCCUGCGCCACAGAAUAAUGAUCUGAAGAGAGCUAAUGUAUUUGCAAGGAAGAGUCCUCAUUCGUGCAAUAGUGUUGAUGCAGCUAAGAGGUGCCUUGCCAAGUUCAGCACAGCCUGCCAUGCUUGGACGGAACCGUUUUUUCUUCGAAGAAUAAACAGAAUGCUGCAUCUAAAGAGUAAGAAGUUACAGACUUACUUCCUUGCUUUCUUCAAAAACAGAAGGAUGCUUUUAAAGAUAAGGAUUUUGAAAUGAAGAAUAAAAAAGGAGAAUGUUUUCAGAAAAAGAGUUUAUAACGGACCAGAUAAAUACAUGUGUUAUCUUUUAAAAAUAUUUAACUCAAGUGAAGCUCCCGUAUGGCAAGCCUCAAGACCAAGGUAAGAGUGUUUCUCUGAGAAAGGGGAGAGGAAGCUAAUUGUUUUCCAAAGAGAAAUGGGACAAAGAUAUUCUAUAGUACUUAUACAUCAGUAUGUUUGGCACAGAAGUCAUAUAUAUGCACACAAUGCACACAAGUCAUAUAUAUGGCUCUGAUACUAUGCUUCUAACUUAGUGUGCUAAUGAUAGAGAAGUCACUGGCUGUGAGAUCUGAUUUUAAGCCCUGAGGUGAGUUACUCAGUGACAACAGUACUAGAUAUCACACAACACACUGUGAAGAUUUGUGUUCCCAGCAUUAUGGCAUUGUUUUAAGAAGAGAAAGGUGUCCUGAUCAUCAACAUCCAGCUUAAAUACUUCCCUCUUGAAUAUUGUAACUCCCCUCUCAUUUAUGUUGUCAUAUUGAACUGGGUGGUUAAGUUUUCAGAGGAGACUUCUUCCUUAUCUGAAGUCUUACUAUGGCAGUUUCAGGGUCUUCAAAGGAGGACAUAUCUCAUUUCUGGUGUGCUUGCCAAGAAGAGGUUAUGAAGACUGCAUGGUGUCUUGAAAAAUGAACUUUGUUAUCUUGCUAUGGAAUGGGUAAUUGUAUAAGGUAGGCAGUACUGGUUCCUGAUUGCUUGGUUUAACAAUACCUUAAGGCUCUAUGGAGUUAGUCUGAAGUACCACGCUUCCUGCAAAAAUAGUAGAGGUUGAAGCACAGCAGAGGGAAAGUGAGGAGUAUACUGUAGGCCAGGAAGAGGAUACAUUUUCUUGGGUUACAGACCAAGUUAUGGAAUGCCAUCUUCCAAGAUAGAAACACUGUACUUGGCAUCAAAUGAGGACUUUGAUCAUUCCUCCAAGGAGGGAUAGUCCGAGAUAUGAAUUUUAUUCUGUGCAGCACUUUAAGUACAGCAGAGACCUGGCACUGAGACUCCAAAUGCCUUGAAAGGUCUUGUGCUUCAGAUGUAGACAGUCUUAAAUUCAUGGACAAUGUAUUUCAGUUUAUAGAUGGAUGAAGUGCCCUGUGCUUUGGUUCGUCAAUGGCCAUGGUUGGAAACAUCUUUCUGCUAUGUUCUACCAGUUAUUUUCAAGACUGUUGCUGGAAUUUAUUUACUGUCUAGUCUGUCAGUGAAGAUAUUCACAAUUCUUUAAGCUGUGUCUGCCUUGACAUGUACCUAUUUGGUCCUAAACAUCAAAUGAAGUUGUUCACUCCAGAGUCUGAUCUGUUUCUGCUACUGCUUUCUCUUUCAUCCUGGUUUUAGAGAAACUGACUUUCGUGUUAAUUUGCUGUGGACUAACUUCUUAUUGGGCCAUUUAAUUCUGGAGCUGUUGGUCAUAUAUAUUAUUACCUAACAACCUCGUUACCAACAAACGCCAAUUAAUAGUAGUAUCUUACAGCCACAGGGGCAUAAAGUAGGGCCAAAAGCAACGUGAACUGAAUUUUCUAGUCAUAUUUUAUUAGAAUAUCUAUCUGUAAUAUUAAAUAUAGUAGAUAUUGAAGAUUAAUCUCACCUAAAUAAUAAUGAAAAAGGAGCUCUGAUGAUUGGAGAGAGAAACUUGGCUGAGGGAUUUUGGGGAAAAAAGCUUUGGCAUCUAUAGGAAGAAAAAAAUCUAUAUUCCUCAUUUUUUUCCAGAAGUCCACUGGAAAUUUUUACACAUAGUUUAAAGAAAUGUUUAGAUAUCCAAAUGUAAGUGAUUUAAAAGCAGUAACUUACUAUUACACUCUUCAAGAUGCUUUAUGUAAGUAAAUAUUUUAAUACAGUUACUCUGAUUCAAAACUUCAUUGCAUUGGAAAAUUGCAAUCCCUGUGUACAGUAGACUACUGGUAGGUCUUUGAAGUGCUCUCUUAACUAUUUGUAUUGAGCUAAUUGUAUAAACAAGUCUUGUUUGUUUAACAAGAUUUUCUGGAGGAGUAAUGUACUUCUCUUGUGUUUAAGAUAAGUUGCUACAAUUGCAAGAAGUUUAAUUUUAUUUUCAACUUCUUUGCUCUUGCUGAGGUUGAUCAACUAGCAAACAAAAGGUUUUAAGAACUUCUGUUUGCAACAGUUUUAUUUGUAAGAUUAGAACAAGUUUACAUGAUUAAAAUUCAAAAUUUGAUGAUUAUUUUUUUGUAUCUGAUAUACCUAUCAGCUACUUUCCAUGUGCUAGUUGGGAUAUGCUUCAUACAGUUCUCACUGUGAACUAAGCACACACAGCUCACCUUUGAUAAGCAGAGGCUAUACUGUAGGUAUUUCUCUUUAUCAAAAGAUUUCUGGGUGUUGGAGGUUUCUCUUUGGGUAAGAGGGAGAUAGGGAGACAAAAACAUGCCUUCAUGCUUUAUACAGUUUUCCUAGUUUAUGGAAACAUUAGGUAAUUUUUUUUACUUGCACAUUGUAACUUAAGCUUGAAUAAAUCACGGAAUUUCUAUCCUGCGUAUCUGCAUUUAUCUUGAGUCUGUUUUGAAAGUUAUUGUAAUACAAAUCAUAAAUAAGCAAGAAAAUGUUUUAUCAGGUGAUUCUGGUCUUUUAACUCAGUCAGCUGGGAGAUGCAAUCCUUAGAGACCUAAGGGUAACCUGCAUGUAAAACUAAUAAAUAAGGAAGACCAUUCUAUUUGCUCCUUUUAAGGAAUACUCGUGGAAGUAACAAAACUUUGUUUCUUUAGAAACAAAAGGGCUGUUUGUGGGUUGGUUUUUGUUUGUUGUUUUUUUUUUUUUCAUAGCAUAGCCUGCAUUUGCAGAUGUUUAAAAUAACCAAAUAAAUUAGAUAGUGAUGGAAACAAUAUUGUGUGACAGAACUAAAGGGAUUUUGUUGAAUAACUACUGAUCAGUGACAGCCUAUUACUGUCAGAGAUAACAGUGGUCAUUUCCACUGUUGUGGUCUGGCUGAGGAGGAGUGAUUGCUUUAUAUGUAUUUUACAAAGAAGAGUGCAUGCUUAGUCAGGAUCCAGUGUUUGUCCCAAAAUUCAACAACAUUGCAGCAUUUUUAUUUCCAAAAAAAGUUAGUUAAAUGUGAUAAAGUAUUACAAAAAGAAUAGUGGCACCUUAGUGGCACACAGAACUUGACAGAAUCUGGCAGAAAUUCAAAGUGUGGUUUGUCUCUAGUAAUUCCAUUAACAUUUCAAAGGUUGAUAAUGUUCAGGGAAUUACACAGCAGGGAUUAUUUUUUAUGUUAAGAAUUAGUACUCUAAAGCUUUGCCUGCACUGGGAAUAUUGCAGCUAUCUUGCAAUAGGCGAAUGUACUCUAUUCAAGAUACUAAGUUCUCUAUCAGAUAUUUUGCUACUUUAUCUAUAUUGGCAUAAUUAAAAUAGCAAUCUUCUCUCCGCCUAGUGUGAAUAGAGCUGUAUCAGUGUAAAACUAUAUAUUGGUUGCUUAUUUCCAAAUAGAAGGGAACAACUUAGGAGGGCUGGCCCAAUUUCAGAAAAUGUUUUUAAUUAUAUUGCAGUUGCUAUGCCUCUAUGAACUACACAAGUGAGACCUUAUACCAGAAGAAAAUGACUUCAUUCUAGUUCCUUUGCUCUUAUCCACAGGGCUCCAUAAGAGGUUGCAUCCUUUAGUUUUGAAUAUUCAGUUUGUCUUUGUGGCAAACUUGCGUGUUAAACACAUGUGCUUAUAUUCUAGAAAGCAUAGAUGAUGAAUGGUUUGAUAAUAACAGUGCGUCUUCAUCUCUGAAACAACCCUGCUAGUCUAUUCAAUUUAUACUGGAACAAGUACAGUUUAAUGUGAGUGGUUAGAAUUUUCCAUCUGGCUGUGUGUACCAGAGCCUACAGAUCAUCUACCCCUCUGAAUCCUAGCUUUGCUCUGUUGUUUGGUAUGGAACAGAAUGUUUUAUGUAUCCUGACCAAACUUUCACUGCUGUUUUAUAGAUCAGUGUCUUGUCUUGCUUUUCUGAUGUGCAAAAUGAAGCUUGUCCAAUAUGUGUUACCCCAGAAAGAAUUAAGAUAAUUGAAGUCAGAAUAUCUAAACUUGGAUCACUUGCAAGCAAGGAUGAUCUGCAUGCACAUGUUCUGUAAAGAUAAUGGAUAACAGAUCCAGAUGAUUCCUGAUUUAAAGCUACGGAUGAGGAGUAAUCCUGAUUCCCAUAUUAAAAGGAGGGGAAUUUCAUAAUGGGGAGAAGACUGAGAAUGCGUGGAACCUUUCUGCUCUGGGACUGGAAGUACUGAAGAAUGGACAUGAGUCAGAGACAGGGACAGAAAGAGCAGAAAGCCUGAGGGACCUUUGACCAUUCAGAGAACAUUCACCAGGUUUAACUAGCUGUUCUCUGUCCGAUGCUCACUGACUGUUCCACUCUUUCUGCCUCUUUACUUCUACUUCAAUCCUGUUUACACUGUGUGCUUUUUUUUUUCCCACAAUGUGCCCUUCUUAGUGCUUUUUAAAGUUUUUUGUUUGGCUGACUUUUUUUUUGCUUGUUUGUUUGUUUGUUUUAAUGGAGGACUUUUAACUGUCCUGUGUUCAUGCUCUCUCUCACAAAUCAGAAUUUCAGUUUUCAUAAGUUUUCAAGUAUGAUGAAUGUUCCUUUGUCCUGCUUUUUGUAAGGAAUCACUUGAAGGCAAAUGAGUACCCUUAACAAGAUGAGAUGAUGUGUAUGAGAUUUAAUGGGAUAAGGGAAGCUUUGCUCCUACAGAUUUUCUGUAGGUGAACUAGAGAUUUAAAAGAGAUGUUGAACAUCUAUACAUCCUUCUAUUCAGAAAAAAAAUUCUAUAACUUUAUUUUGUUAGAGUCUGACUACUAUGUAUGAUGAACGUUUCAGAAUGGAUAUUAUGUUGACUAUGUUUGCAUUGUACGUGCAGUUGUUGGCAAUUUUGUUUGUUUGUUUUCCCUAUUCCACAGCUCUUAAAUUUGCUUUCUAGAAACCAUUUUGGUAGGUGUAGGUUGCUUGUCUGAAAUCUGUUCUGAAGCUUCAGUGCAAAGCAACUACAGCACUAAUGAUGGAUGUGAAUGGACAUCUUAAGGAUAACUGGAUAUGGCAUCUUCAGAAACAGUGGCAUUUUGGUAAGAAUCUGCAUAUAAAUUUUGAAAUAAUACAUGAUGGU